UGGCUGACGAGUGGCGGACGGGUGAGUAACGCGUAGGAAUCUGCCUUGGAGUGGGGGACAACAUGGGGAAACUCAUGCUAAUACCGCAUACGCCCUACGGGGGAAAGCGGGGGAUCUUCGGACCUCGCGCUCUAAGAUGAGCCUGCGUCGGAUUAGCUAGUUGGUAGGGUAAAGGCCUACCAAGGCGACGAUCUAUAGCUGGUCUGAGAGGACGAUCAGCCACACUGGGACUGAGACACGGCCCAGACUCC
rnacentral:rRNA from 1 species